GUCAGGAUUAAAGGUGGUCAGAAGCCAGGCGAGUUACAGCUUGAGUAGUGCUAUCAAUGAAUUCAGUUAGGGUAAUACUCUGCUGACGUGAAGCCGUAACACUGGAGAAGCUGAUUUACCUGUACCUGUGGGAUCUAACAAUGCAUAAACUCCAUUGGAACCACUGCUGAAGUUGGGAAAUUCGAGCCAUGACCAGAAGACGAGCUACUUAUUUUAGAACCAGCACAACUGCCAAAGAGGUGGACUUGCGGUAGAACAGCACUCUGGAUAUGUUUCAACACCUCUAUGAGGAAAGAGAGGCAGUGGCACCAGCUCUACAGUCACACAAAACAGACCUCUGAAAAUACAGGAGAAUGCAUCAAGAUACUGUCUGCAUUUCAGCAGCAGCACCAAGAAUCACCUCAGCCUCGUCCUCGCUGACGUAAUGCUACGAAAUGAUGUUUCAGAAGCCCAUUGGCUGUGCACAGGCACAUUACAGUCUGCAGUGCAAUCAAGCAGUAACCUCCAGGUCUGAGCAAUGAAGCCCAUGUGGAAGUGCAAAAAACUGGCUCCAAAAGGAGCAAUCCGGAGCA